rnacentral:tRNA from 1 species
GGAAGUGUGUCCGAGUGGUUUAAGGAGCACGCUUGGAAAGCGUGUAAAGUCGCAAGGCUUUCACAGGUUCGAAUCCUGCCACUUCCGCCA